rnacentral:rRNA from 1 species
CCUACGGGGGACAGCAGUGGGGAAUAUUGCACAAUGGGGGAAACCCUGAUGCAGCGACGCCGCGUGAGUGAAGAAGUAUUUCGGUAUGUAAAGCUCUAUCAGCAGGAACGAGACAAGACGGUACCUGACUAAGAAGCCCCGGCUAACUACGUGCCAGCAGCCGCGGUAAUACGUAGGGGGCAAGCGUUAUCCGGAAUCACUGGUGGGAAAGGGAGCGUAGACGGCUGUGCAAGCCUGAAGUGAAAGGCGGGGGCCUAACCCCGUGACUGCUUUGGGAACUGUACGGCUGGAGUGCAGGAGAGGUAAGUGGAAUGCCUAGUGUAGCGGUGAAAUGCGUAGAUAUUAGGAGGAACACCAGUGGCGAAGGCGGCUUACUGGACUGUAACUGACGUUGAGGCUCGAAAGCGUGGGGAGCAAACAGGAUUAGAUACCCGGGUAGUC